UGCCUUAUGUUGAUAGUUUAUAAGGUAAGAUCUGCCCAAUGAUUAGUUAAAUGGCCGCGGUAUCCUAACCGUGCGAAGGUAGCAUAAUAGUUUGUCUUUUAAUUGAGGUCUGGUAUGAAUGAUUUUAUGAGAGGAAAGCUGUCUUUUAAGUAUUAUUUGAAUUUUUAUGUUAGGUGAAGAUACUUAAGUGUAUAUAAAAGACGAGAAGACCCUGUCAAGUUUUAUAAUUAAUGUUAAUUUUAGGUUAAUAUAAUUUAUGUUUUAUUAUUUGGUUGGGGCAAUUGAUUAAUAAGUGAAAUUUUAUUGUUAUGUAAAUAUUGAUUAUUAAAUAUGAUUUAUGAGCCAAUUAUUUGAUUAAUAGAAAAAAUUACUGCAGGGAUAACAGCGUAAUUUCUUUUUAGAGUUCUUAUCGAUGAAGAAGAUUGCGACCUCGAUGUUGGUUUAAGAUUCUUAUUUGGCGCAGGAGUUGAAUAAAGUAGUCUG
rnacentral:rRNA from 1 species